CUCCUUCUUUCUUUCCCUAUAUUAUUCCACCAACCUCCGAAUAAGGUGGAAGCUUCCGUGGUAGGACGCCCCGCCAUGAGCCCGAACUGGUUGUCUAAAUACUGCCCUCCUCACCCUCAAUUCUACCACCCUCUCCCAAAUUUUCAUGCCACUGACUAGCAACUGUAACAACUAUAUUUUCCUCUUCGCAAGUGUGUAGUUUAAGUUCACCCAACCACCACUCUCUUCAAAGGUGGGAACAAGACACAUGACUAUUUGGUAACUUUAGUUUACAAUAUUUCUCCUUUCACUUUGUUAAGGGAUUAUUGAAGCAGAUGUGUGUUUCUAUGGUCAUCUAAUAUGAAAAUGUCAUGUCCUCUCUAGCUCCAUGGACCAAUCACCGGUAACAUGAAGCAUGAUGAAUAAGAUUCUUGUAUCAAGCAAGAGGAUUCUCUUACUGAAAGAAAAUCCUUUACAUUGGAGCAAUAAUAUCUAGGAACCUAUUUCAAGGAGCUGGUAUAUGGUGGAAUAUUCAACGUGCGCACAAGCUGUCCCAACAACACCAUUGUCCAAGAAUAUCUCUAAGAACCUACUUCAUACAAAAGGAUACAAUUUUUCUAGCUUAGACUGCCUUCAUCAAAUAAAGAAGGGAAAAGGAUCAGAACUGCCCCUAACGUAUUGAAUCCAGGUUAAAAAUGCCCUCCGUUAACCUAUUUUGAAGAAAAUGCCCUUACCGUUAAAAAUGUGGCAUUUUCAACACGUAAUCUUGCGUAUGUUGCAAUUGAACUCUCCAACCACAUCUCAAAUGUGUCACUUAAACUCACUUUCAUGAUAUGGCAUAGUUAGUGUAUUACAUCAUUUUUCAGAACGUGAGAGAGCAAUUUUUCUUUUUAAAAUUUUGUCACAACCCGGAUUUCUCACUGUCGGAACCAUGAUGGCUCCUAACUUUUCAGAUGCUAGGCAAGCCGACAAUUAGAGAUUUAAUAUGCUAAGCUUAAACAACGGAAAAGGGUCAGAACAGCCCCAAACGUAUUGACUCCAGGUUAAAAAUGCCCUCCGUUAACCUAUUUUGAAGAAAAUGCCCCUACCGUUAAAAAUGUGGCAUAUUU
rnacentral:lncRNA from 1 species